CCUACGGGAGGCAGCAGUGGGGAAUAUUGGGCAAUGGGCGCAAGCCUUACCCAGCAAUACCGCGUGAGUGAAGAAGGUCUUCGGAUUGUACAGCUCUUUGAUCAGGGACGAACAGAUGACGGUACCUGAAGAACAAGCCCCGGCUAACUACGUGCCAGCAGCCGCGGUAAAACGUAGGGGGCGAGCGUUGUCCGGAAUGACUGGGCGUAAAGGGUGCGUAGGGGGCAUAAUAAGUUAGAAGUGAAAUACCCAGAGCUUAACUCGGGUGCUGCUUCUAAGACUGUUGAGCUUGAGUGCGGGAGAGGUUAAUGGAAUUCCUAGUGUAGCGGUGGAAUGCGUAGAUAUUAGGAGGAACACCAGUGGCGAAGGCGGUCUGCUGGACAGCAACUGACGCUGAGGCGCGAAAGCGUGGGGAGCAAACAGGAUUAGAUACCCCAGUAGUC
rnacentral:rRNA from 1 species